UGGCUCUCGCAUCGAUGAAGAACGCAGCGAAAUGCGAUAAGUAAUGUGAAUUGCAGAAUUCAGUGAAUCAUCGAAUCUUUGAACGCACCUUGCGCUCCUUGGUAUUCCGAGGAGCAUGCCUGUUUGAGAGUCAUUACAUUUUCAACCUUCUUAAGUUUUUGACUAGGUUGGAUGAUGGGGGUUUGCAGGCUUCGUUUGACGAGGUCAGCUCCUCUUAAAUGCAUUAGCAGAACCUUUUGCGGACUGUCUUUUGGUAUGAUAAUGACUACAAUCACCAAUGCCAUGAGUUCACGAAGCAGAUUUUUAUAAUCGAGGUUCAGCUUUCUAAUGGUCCAUUAGUUUGGACAUUGUUGACUAUUUGACCUCAAAUCAGGUAGGACUACCCGCUGA
rnacentral:misc_RNA from 1 species